rnacentral:tRNA from 1 species
GAACGUAUGGCUCAGUCGGUCAGAGCGCUUCGACGGUUUCCAAAGAAGCAGAGGUUCAAAUCCCGCUACGUUCA